rnacentral:rRNA from 1 species
CCCUUAGAUGUUCUGGGCCGCACGCGCGCUACACUGAUGCAUUCAACAAGCCUAGCCUUGACCGAGAGGUCCGGGUAAUCUUUGAAACUGCAUCGUGAUGGGGCUAGAUUAUUGCAAUUAUUAAUCUUCAACGAGGAAUGCCUAGUAAGCGUGAUUCAUCAAAUCGCGUUGAUUACGUCCCUGCCCUUUGUACACACCGCCCGUCGCUCCUACCGAUUGAAUGUGUUGGUGAGGAGCUCGGAUUGGCAGCAGUUGGUGGUUCGCCACCGGCUAUUGCUGAGAAGUCCUCCGAACCGCCCCAUUUAGAGGAAGGAGAAGUCGUAACA